UGGAAACAAAUGUUACGGCACGUGAUGCUUUGUUGUGUUCUGCUGCCGUGGCAACAGCGAAGAUCACAAGGGGGGCGCCCCCACUCUGAAAUUCCUUCCCCCUCCCUGGAAAAGUGUGGAAUAAAAAACACGCACAGCAGUUCCACACUGAUACGUGCGUGAAUGUACGUGUGGCAGCACGGAGAACACGGGCGGACUGACCCGCGAUCCGUCUGUCCGACUCACAUCAGGUCACAUCAUGUCCAUCAGGGCAGCGGCGGGGGGCGGCUAGUUCCUGGAAGAGCCGGCCUGCCUGCGGAGUCACUCGCAUUCCUGGCUGGGAUUCAAUGACUGAGCCAGAC
ensembl:lncRNA